UACAGAGGUGGCAAGCGUUGUUCGGAAUUACUGGGCGUAAAGGGCGCGUAGGCGGCCGCCUAAGUCAGACGUGAAAUCCCCAAGCUUAACUUGGGAACUGCGUCUGAUACUGGGUGGCUUGAGUUCGGGAGAGGAAUGUGGAAUUCCAGGUGUAGCGGUGAAAUGCGUAGAUAUCUGGAGGAACACCGGCGGCGAAGGCGGCAUUCUGGACCGAAACUGACGCUGAUGCGCGAAAGCCAGGGGAGCGAACGGG
rnacentral:rRNA from 1 species